rnacentral:rRNA from 1 species
AACGAACGCUGGCGGCAUGCCUAACACAUGAAAGUCGAACGAGAUCUUCGGGUCUAGUGGCGCACGGGUGCGUAACGCGUGGGAAUCUGCCCUUUGGUUCGGAAUCACAGUUGGAAACGACUGCUAAUACCGGAUGAUGACGAAAGUCCAAAGAUUUAUCGCCAGAGGAGGAGCCCGCGUAGGAUUAGCUAGUUGGUGUGGGAAAGGCGCACCAAGGCGACGAUCCUUAGCUGCUCUGAGAGGCUGAUCAGCCACACUGGGACUGAGACACGGCCCAGACUCAGACGGGAUGCAGAAGUGGGGAAUAUUGGACAGUGGCCGAAAGCCUGGUCCAUCAAAUCCGCGUGAGAGAUGAAGGCCUUAGGGUUGUCAAGAUCUUUUAGCCGGGAACAUGAUGACAGUACCGGGGGAAUAAGCUCCGGUUAACUCCGGGCCUCCCGCCGCAGUAA